AUUGAACGCUGGCGGCAUGCCUUACACAUGCAAGUCGAACGGACAGCGGGGACUUCGGUCCGCCGGCGAGUGGCGAACGGGUGAGUAAAGUAUCGGAACGUACCUUUCAGUGGGGGAUAACGUAGCGAAAGUUACGCUAAUACCGCAUAUUCUGUGAGCAGGAAAGCAGGGGACCGCAAGACCUUGCGCUGAUUGAGCGGCCGAUAUCAGAUUAGCUAGUUGGUGAGGUAAAGGCUCACCAAGGCGACGAUCUGUAGCGGGUCUGAGAGGAUGAUCCGCCACACUGGAACUGAGACACGGUCCAGACUCCUACGGGAGGCAGCAGUGGGGAAUUUUGGACAAUGGGGGCAACCCUGAUCCAGCCAUGCCGCGUGAGUGAAGAAGG
rnacentral:rRNA from 1 species